ensembl:lncRNA
CUGAGAUCAAUUGUGCUCCUAAGGUAAAGGUUAAAAGAACUGAACUAGUGCCAGGGCUGCUAACAUGCUGGCAAUCUGAGCCCUGCUCUGUUAGAGUGACAUUCUGAACCAGGUUAGAUUCAAGCAAGCAUUAAAUGGAAUGAACUUGGCUGGCAUUAACAUGCCAAUAUAAGUUUAAUUUCUAUUUGAGCCUUUACAGUUCGACAUGAUGCCUAAUAAUUAUAAUGUCUUUAUUAAUAUAUAAACUUCUCGAGCACUACACGUGCCUGCAGAUCAGUCUAGUGUUUCUGCUAAAGAACUGCAGAAGUCUGGAAACCAUUUCUGGCCUCUAUCUUCAGAUAACAACGUAAGUACUACCCUUCUGACACUUCCCAGGGAGCAGGUUUCCCCCAAACCACACAAAGCCUCCAUUCAUCACUGGAAUGAAAAUACAGAUUCUGAGCAGAUGCCAUCACCGCUGGUUAGAGGACGAAAGAACGCUCACUGUCGUCUGGUUGGGCAAGAUUAUUUCGGAUACGGCAUCCAUCCCCUUCAUCCUGCUGAUGUUGAAAUGGUAAGUUUAGAUUUCAAAAUGGGGAAAACCCACAUCUCCUCAUUGAUAUUGCAGAAAGACAUCCACUGACACUCAUAGCAACCACUAGUGGCCCAUGGUCAGGAUUCGCCCCACAUUAGUGAUGUCAUACAGACAGUUGUGCGCUCGCCGAGGCCAAGGUAAACAGUAACCGAAGGUGAACGUGUCACUUGUGGACAACAAACCCCGGCUCAAUUGGAGAACCCCUGAUGGAUUGCCCAUAAUGCACUGCAUCUGGGAGCAAUACAGCAUAAUUACAAAUAAAUUAGCAUGUAUCAUUUCCUGGACUUGCACAGCGCUUGUUAGGCUCAAGUUUUGUUAACACAGUUACCAAUUUGCAAUAAAUUGGUUAUUGAGUUUUCGCUAGAAGGUGGGAUGCGAUCACACCUCAUUCGUGUGGAUGCAAUUAUAUUUUAUAUAGUAAAUAGGUUCAGCUCCCAGGAGCCCAAUCAGGAAUCACAGAAAAUCGGAAAAGCGGUUAACGCCUGGCAGAAUUAAUCUGACUGUACCAAUAUUUGAAAAUAAUUUGGUUCGGGGUUUCAGAUUACCACAGGUUGUCAUUCUAGCCUGUUGAAUAAGGUCCUGAGCAGUACAUGGCUUUACACAGCUGUCUGUGUGACAAAAAUAGAAGAUGUAAAAAAAUGUCCCUGGGCCAAAA